GCCCUGUGAGUUUCAGACUGUGGGACUGAGAUCUGUCCAUCAACACAACAGAAACCACGGAAACCAUGACUCUGAUCACCAUCUUUAUCUGGACACUGGUCUGCUGCUGCCUCAAAGGAUCCAGAGGUCAGGUGACUGUGACUGUGACUCAGCCUCCUGUAGUGACAUUUUCUCCAGGAGACCCUGUCACUCUGACCUGUACAACCAACCCUAAAGUGUACAGAUGGGAUGAUGGAGAUGAGGGUGUGUUCUGGUAUCAACAGAGACCUGGAGAAGCUCCCAAACUCCUGAUAAUAUAUGCAAAGAAACGGUUAGAUGGGAUUCCUGCUAGAUUCAGUGGCAGUGGGUCUGAGAGGGACUUCACUCUGACCAUCAGUGGAGUCCAGGCUGAAGAUGCUGCAGUUUACUACUGUCAGAGUUACCACAGUGGAGGUGUGAUCACACAGUGAUUUAGAGCUGUACAA